CACGUAGGGCGCAAGCGUUGUCCGGAAUUAUUGGGCGUAAAGAGCUCGUAGGUGGUUUGCUGCGUCCGCUGUGAAAACCCAAGGCUUAACCUUGGGCUUGCAGUGGAUACGGGCAGACUAGAGGUAGGUAGGGGAGAAUGGAAUUCCCGGUGUAGCGGUGAAAUGCGCAGAUAUCGGGAGGAACACCGGUGGCGAAGGCAGCUCGCUGGGACGGUACUGACGCUGAGACGCGAAAGCGUGGGGAGCAAACAGG
rnacentral:rRNA from 1 species